rnacentral:rRNA from 1 species
GAUUAACGCUGGCGGCGUGCAUAACACAUGCAAGUCGAACGAUGAAACUCAUUAGAUUUCUUCGGAAUGAAAAUGAAUGGAUUAGUGGCGAACGGGUGAGUAACGCGUGAGUAACCUGCCUUACACAAGGGGAUAGCCUCUGGAAACGGAGAAUAAUACCCUAUGAAACCAGACAAUCGCAUGAUAAUCUGGUCAAAAUGUUUAGUGGUGUAAGAUGGAGUUGCGUCUGAUUAGCUAGUUGGUGAGAUAAAAGCUCACCAAGGCAACGAUCAGUAGCCGGAAUGAGAGAGUGUACGGCCACAUUGGGAGUGAGACACGGCCCAGACUCUUACGGGAGGGAGCAGUGGGGAAUUUUGCACAAUGGGGGAAACAAUGAUGCCGCGACGCCGCGUGAUUUAGAAGGCCUUCGGGUUGUAAAAAUCUUUUGUAUAGGAAGAAAAUGACAGUACCAUAAGAAUAAGGUCCGGCUAACUACGUG